AUAAAGCAAGGAUACCGGAGUCGAGCUCGAUGGACGUUUAAGAGACCGAAGAAUCAUCGGAGAUGCUGCCGGAACCAUCCGAGAAGAAAUCGAGAACGUGUCGGAAGUUCGCCGAAGAAAUCGUCGGAGGCUCGCGGAGAUCACCGAGAAGGCUCGGCUACUCGUUAAAAGUCAUCACAAAGAUUGGGAGCUUGCAGGGAGUCCGUCGGAAGAAGUUCGUCGGAAAGCUCGCCGGAACAAGACUUGACGUUCGCGGUUGAAAAUUUGCUUAGGAUGUGUUUUGGUUAUGUAGUCCACUUGUAAUUAGGAUUAGGAUUAAGAGAUAAUCCUAUAUCCUGGUUAGGGGCCAACUGGGCCCAAAGUCAGAGUUAGUUUAGGCUAAAAAUUAAGCUAAACCAGCGAACUAGAGAGCCAAGAUUGAAGCCCAACUAGUGGCUGAAAACACUGUAGUUGGGCUGAAAACACUGUAGGCGGUGGCACCGCCUAGCUGGGCGGUGGCACCGCCCAGCACCCGAGUGCUGG
rnacentral:lncRNA from 1 species